rnacentral:rRNA from 1 species
AACCUACGGGGGGCAGCAGUGAGGAAUAUUGGUCAAUGGUCGGGAGGCUGAACCAGCCAAGCCGCGUGAGGGAUGAAGGUACAGAGUAUCGUAAACCUCUUUUGUCAGGGAACAAAGGCGGGGACGUGUCCCGGGAUGAGUGUACCUGAAGAAAAAGCAUCGGCUAACUCCGUGCCAGCAGCCGCGGUAAUACGGAGGAUGCGAGCGUUAUCCGGAUUUAUUGGGUUUAAAGGGUGCGCAGGCGGCCUGUUAAGUCAGCGGUAAAAUCCUGGGGCUCAACCCCGGCGAGCCGUUGAAACCGGCGG